UACGUAGGGUGCAAGCGUUGUUCGGAGUUACUGGGCGUAAAGGGCGCGUAGGCGGCGUGUUGAGUCUGGUGUGAAAGCUCCGAGCUCAACUCGGAAAAGCAUUGGAAACUAUCCCGCUUGAGGGUCGGAGGGGAGACUGGAAUUCUCGGUGUAGCAGUGAAAUGCGUAGAUAUCGAGAGGAACACCAGUGGCGAAGGCGAGUCUCUGGACGACUCCUGACACUGAGGCACGAAAGCGAGGGGAGCAAACAGG
rnacentral:rRNA from 1 species